rnacentral:rRNA from 2 species
UACAGAGGUGGCAAGCGUUGUUCGGAAUUACUGGGCGUAAAGGGCGAGUAGGUGGCCAUCUAAGUCAGACGUGAAAUCCCCCGGCUUAACCUGGGAACUGCGUCUGAUACUGGACGGCUUGAGUAUGGGAGAGGGAUGUAGAAUUCCAGGUGUAGCGGUGAAAUGCGUAGAUAUCUGGAGGAAUACCGGUGGCGAAGGCGGCAUCCUGGACCAUUACUGACACUGAUCCGCGAAAGCUAGGGGAGCAAACGGG